UGGGGAAUAUUGCACAAUGGGCGCAAGCCUGAUGCAGCCAUGCCGCGUGUGUGAAGAAGGCCUUCGGGUUGUAAAGCACUUUCAGCGGGGAGGAAGGCGGUGAGGUUAAUAACCUCAUCGAUUGACGUUACCCGCAGAAGAAGCACCGGCUAACUCCGUGCCAGCAGCCGCGGUAAUACGGAGGGUGCAAGCGUUAAUCGGAAUUACUGGGCGUAAAGCGCACGCAGGCGGUCUGUCAAGUCGGAUGUGAAAUCCCCGGGCUCAACCUGGGACCUGCAUUCGAAACUGGCAGGCUAGAGUCUUGUAGAGGGGGGUAGAAUUCCAGGUGUAGCGGUGAAAUGCGUAGAGAUGUGGAGGAAUACCGGUGGCGAAGGCGGCCCCCUGGACAAAGACUGACGCUCAGGUGCGAAAGCGUGGGGAGCAAACAGG
rnacentral:rRNA from 1 species